UGGCGUAAACAGAGGGAAGCGAGCCUGCGAGGGGGAGCGAAUCCCAAAAAUAAACGUCCCAGUUCGGAUUGUAGUCCGCAACCCGACUACAUGAAGCUGGAAUCGCUAGUAAUCGCGGAUCAGAAUGCCGCGGUGAAUACGUUCCCGGGUCUUGUACACACCGCCCGUCACACCAUGGGAGUCGGAAAUGCCCGAAGCCGGUGACCGAACCUUAGGGACGGAGCCGUCGAAGGUGGAGCCAAUGACUGGGGUGAAGUCGUAACAAGGUAGC
rnacentral:rRNA from 1 species